rfam:Glycine soja cultivar W05 scaffold4894_4, whole genome shotgun sequence.
UUUUGAUUGGACAAUGACUGUCACGUUCUGAUUGAACGUUGACAACAACAAUACAUUUUCAUCGUCAUAGAGUCAACAUCCAAUCAGGACUUGACACGUGACAGUCAUCGUCC